rnacentral:rRNA from 1 species
AUGAACGCUAGCGACAGGCCUAACACAUGCAAGUCAGGGGCAGCACAAGGAGCAAUCUGAGGUGGCGACCGGCGCACGGGUGAGUAACACGUAUGCAACCUGCCUGUAAGCGGGGAAUAACCCGUUGAAAGACGGACCAAUACCGCAUAAUACUAAAUUACUGCAUGGUAAUUUAUUUAAACAUUUAUGGCUUACAGAUGGGCAUGCGCAUGAUUAGCUAGUUGGAGAGGUAACGGCUCCCCAAGGCAACGAUCAUUAGGGGUUCUGAGAGGAAGGUCCCCCACACUGGUACUGAGACACGGACCAGACUCCUACGGGAGGCAGCAGUGAGGAAUAUUGGUCAAUGGACGAGAGUCUGAACCAGCCAAGUCGCGUGCAGGAAGAAUGUCCCUAUGGAUUGUAAACUGCUUUUGCAGGGGAAUAAAGUGCAUCACGUGUGAUGUUUUGUAUGUACUCUGCGAAUAAGGAUCGGCUAACUCCGUGCCAGCCGCAGC